AUUGAACGCUGGCGGCAUGCCUUACACAUGCAAGUCGAACGGCAGCACGGGGGCAACCCUGGUGGCGAGUGGCGAACGGGUGAGUAAUGCAUCGGAAUGUACCCAGUAGUGGGGGAUAACUAGUCGAAAGACUGGCUAAUACCGCAUACGCACUAUGGUGGAAAGCGGGGGAUCGCAAGACCUCGCGCUAUUGGAGCAGCCGAUGUCCGAUUAGGUAGUUGGUGGGGUAAAGGCCUACCAAGCCUGCGAUCGGUAACUGGUCUGAGAGGACGACCAGUCACACUGGGACUGAGACACGGCCCAGACUCCUACGGGAGGCAGCAGUGGGGGAAUUUUUGGACAAUGGGCGCAAGCCUGAUCCAGCAAUGCCGCGUGUGUGAAGAAGG
rnacentral:rRNA from 1 species